CCCAGGUGAAGAGCCCUGCCACUAUUACCUCACAAAUCAGCACAUCUGUCACUCUAGCACUGGUACAGGCUCUAAGAAUACUCCUACUGAGAAUACUCACUAGAAAGGAAGCUGAAGAACUGGCCACUUAGUGCCUCCACACCAGCAACUCUCACAGAGCUGCCUGGUGGCCUAUUCUGAGGUAUGUGGUAUUUCAUAUGAACAAAACUGAAAUAUGCGGUUUCUGCAUACUGACAGAAUACGUGGGCACAAGGCACUGGAGGCAAGUGGGUAACACUUCUUAAAACACUGAUGGCACAGUACUCAAAAACCAACUCCAUGAGGAAAUAAACCAAAACGUCAACCACUCCCAGAACUCUCAUCACAAGAGCUUUAUGCAUGUGCCAACAUGCACUUGCUAGAAACUAAGGAAACCCUGGGCUCCCAAGGCCCUCACCUGAACGCCGGGAGCUACCAUCUGGGCAGACUGUGCUGUCUGCACUGCCGCCUGCGGCUGCACCUGGGGCUGUACCUGCUGCACCUGGGGCUGCACUUGCGGCUGCUGGACCACCAUCGGAGCACGGACCUUGAAGGAGGAAGGAAAAAGCAACUUGGAACCAUCUGCACAGAGAGCAGAGUACUCACUACCUGUGUGGGAGCUUUAAGAAUGGAACUUACAGAGCUGUUGACAUAGUUGAGUGGGUAAAGGUCCCUGCCACCAAGCCUGGGGUCUUGAGCCCUAAGACCUAUGUAGCAGGAGAGAACUGAUUCUUGAAAAGUUGUCCUUUGAACUCUACACUCAAAUUGUGGCAUACACGAAAAUUCUUCUCACCCAACCAAAAAAAAAUUUUUUAUUUUAGAACAAGUAGCUUCCUCUUGGGAUGGAGGAUGGGACUGUGAAGACACCGUAUGCUGUGCCUAAUCACCAACGGUCAUAAGAAAUAUCCCACACCAGCCUAUCAGCCAAAUCCCACCUCUCUCAAUCCUGGCAAGAAAGAAGACAGCCCUCCCAUGCACACCAACUACAAUCACGAGCUAAGCAAAAACUUCCAAAGCUGAGCACAGCUUGCCUGCUCAGACUGUAAGUGUCCCCAAGAGCCCAGACUCCAUGAAGGAAAGCAGGCUGGUCAGCUAGCAGAUGGCUUAGCUAGAAAGAUGACCAUAGGUGAUGGAAGACAGAGGAAACACACAUCUCUAUGGGAGUACCAUGUGGAGAUAGCACUACAGGGACAGGGCAGGUCUUGGCCAGAUCCACACUGGGAGCUUCUCCUUAUCUCCAAGCUACCAGGCCCAAUCCUGGUAGGCAGUCUGCCAAGGAGUCCACAAAGUUUCUGGGUACCAGUGACUGUCCCUGCAGCCCACAACCCUCCCAGCCAACCUCUUUCUACCCUGACUUUCAGCUCAGAUGAGGUGUCUGUCCCCACAUCCCUUAACGUAUCACAGGUAGAAAAGACCACAAAAACCAAGGGAGCAGAGAAGAUUCUCAAAUUGUUGCUUUUUAUUGUAACUAAGUUUGGUGGCAAUAUUCCAUUCUCUGUAAAUAUUUUGACACUUACUUUAAUCAAGAUGCGCAAUGAGGUAGGAAAUAAAAUUUUAUAUGAC